GAACAUUUUAAUUACUAGAUUACCAUAAGGAUACAAAAGGAUGUAGCUCAGGAACAACCAGAUGGAAGCAAUGCCUAGGGCAAGGUGUGGGAAAAAGGCACAGAGCUUACAUGCCCUCUCCAGAUGUGCCACCUUUCCACAUCGUCACAUGUUUACCAACCCAGAAGUUCUCUGAACACUGUCCUUUCGGGUUUUUGUGGAGGUUUCAUACAUGUAUACUGGCACAGCAGAUUUGAACCCCACGGUUCCCCAGUCACAGAGCAAGUGUGUAUUCAACAGCUCUUUCCCACAGUCCUUCACUAAGUUCAUGGGGCUAGUACUCAGAAGACUAGAGGCAUGGCACGAGAACUGAGAGAAUUCACCUCUGAGUAUCUGCAAGGAGGAAUGAGGAGCAGCAGAAAUGUUUCAGGUGUGCAAUAUAGAGAUUCAGCAAUUCUACACAUUACUCAGCGCUCAUCAUGCCCUGGGUCUCAUCUCAUGGGACCUUCCAGAGAGAAGUCAGCACCCACUGGGAGAACAGACUCUGUCCUCUGUGGAACUGGAAGAACUCGAUGAGGUCCAGUGGACAGCACAUCGACGACACUAUGACAGAUGUCAGAACAGGGAGCAGAGAAUUUGGAAUAAAAAUACAAAUAUAAGUAUGACAUGUCUCCAAACCUUUGUAACAGUUUUCCUUCCCAUGAAGUCCUAAAAAAAAAAUAAAUAAAAAAGAUAGAUAGAUAGAUAGAAAGAUAGAUAGAUUUGACAGAG
rnacentral:lncRNA from 1 species